rnacentral:ncRNA from 1 species
CAAGUUUGCCAGUGAUGGCAAGCUGAAUUGUAAGAAGUCAGCAGAGGUCAUAGUAGUUCCCUUGGAACAAAGGAC